GAUGAACGCUGGCGGCGUGCCUAAUACAUGCCAGUCGAGCGAACGGACGAGAAGCUUGCUUUUCUGAUGUUAGCGGCGGACGGGUGAGUAACACGUGGAUAACCUACCUAUAAGACUGGGAUAACUUCGGGAAACCGGAGCUAAUACCUGAUAAUAUUUUGAACCGCAUGGUUCAAAAGUUAAAGACGGUCUUGCUGUCACUUAUAGAUGGAUCCGCGCUGCAUUAUCUAGUUGGUAAGGUAACGGCUUACCAAGGCAACGAUGCAUAGCCGACCUGAGAGGGUGAUCGGCCACACUGGAACUGAGACACGGUCCAGACUCCUACGGGAGGCAGCAGUAGGGAAUCUUCCGCAAUGGGCGAAAGCCUGACGGAGCAACGCCGCGUGAGUGAUGAAGGUCUUCGGAUCGUAAAACUCUGUUAUUAGGGAAGAACAUAUGUGUAAGUAACUGUGCACAUCUUGACGGUACCUAAUCAGAAAGCCACGGCUAACUACGUG
rnacentral:rRNA from 1 species